AACACCCAACUUCUGAAAUGUUGACCUCGGAUCAGGUAGGAAUACCCG
rnacentral:rRNA from 1 species